AGUGCAAUGAACCAACUCCCGAGUCUCUAGGACGUUCCUAAAAAAAUUUGAUUUUUUCCCAUAGGAAUGCAUGGGUUAGGGUUAGGGUUAGGGUUGGAGCUAGGGUUAGGGUUAGGGUUAAGGUUGGAGUUUGGGUUAGGGUUAGGGUUAGGGUUAGGGUGGAGCUAGGGUUAGGGUUAGGGUUAGAGCUAGGGUUAGGGUUGGGGCUAGGGUUAGGGUUAAGGUUGGCGCUAGGGUUAGGGUUACGGUUAGGGUUGGAGCUAGGGUUAGGGUUAGGGUUAGGGUUGGAGCUAGAGUUGGGGUUAGGGUUAGGGUUGGAGCUAGGGUUAAGGUUAGGGUUAAGGUUGGAGCUAGGGUUAGGGUUAGGAUUAGGGUGGAGCUAGGGUUAGGGUGAGGGUUAAGGUUGGAGCUAGGGUUAGGGUUAGGAUUAGGGUGGAGCUAGGGUUAGGGUUAGGGUUAGAGCUAGGGUUAGGGUUGGGGCUAGGGUUAGGGUUAAGGUUGGAGAUAGGGUUAGGGUUAGGGUUAGGGUUGGAGCUAGGGUUAGGGUUAGGGUUGGAGCUAGGGUUAGGGUUAGGGUUAGGGUUGGAUUUAGGGUUAGUGUUGGAGCUAGGGUUAGGGUUGGGCUUGGAGCUAGGAUUUUUCUGAGUGCAAUGAACCAACUCCCGAGUCUCUAGGACGUUCCUAAAAAAAUUUGAUUUUUUCCCAUAGGAAUGCAUGGGUUAGGGUUAGGGUUAGGGUUGGAGCUAGGGUUAGGGUUAGGGUUAGGGUUGGAUUUAGGGUUAGUGUUGGAGCUAGGGUUAGGGUUGGGCUUGGAGCUAGGAUUUUUCUGAGUGCAAUGAACCAACUCCCGAGUCUCUAGGACGUUCCUAAAAAAAAUUUAUUUUUUCCCAUAGGAAUGCAUGGGUUAGGGUCAGGGUUAGGGUUGGAGCUAGGGUUAGGGUUAGGGUUAGGGUUGGAGUUAGGGUUAGUGUUGGAGCUAGGGUUAGGGUUGGGCUUGGAGCUAGGAUUUUUCUGAGUGCAAUGAACCAACUCCCGAGUCUCUAGGACGUUCCUAAAAAAAUUUGAUUUUUUCCCAUAGGAAUGCAUGGGUUAGGGUUAGGGUUAGGGUUGGAGCUAGGGUUAGGGUUAGGGUUAGGGUUGGAGUUAGGGUUAGUGUUGGAGCUAGGGUUAGGGUUGGGCUUGGAGCUAGGAUUUUUCUGAGUGCAAUGAACCAACUCCCGAGUCUCUAGGACGUUCCUAAAAAAAUUUGAUUUUUUCCCAUAGGAAUGCAUGGGUUAGGGUUAGGGUUAGGGUUGGAGCUAGGGUUAGGGUUAGGGUUAGGGUUAGGGUUGGAGUUAGGGUUAGGGCAAGGGUUAAGGUUGGAGCUAGGGUUAGGGUUAUGGUUAGGAUUAGGGUGGAGCUAGGGUUAGGGUUAGGGUUAGAGCUAGGGUUAGGGUUGGGGCUAGGGUUAGGGUUAAGGUUGGAGCUAGGGUUAGGCUUAGGGUUAGGGUUGGAGCUAGGGUUAGGGUUAGGGUUAGGGUUGGAGCUAGGGUUAGGGUUAGGGUUAGGGUUGGAGUUAGGGUUAGGGUUAGGGUUGGAGCUAGGGUUAAGGUUAGGGUUAAGGUUGGAGCUAGGGUUAGGGUUAGGAUUAGGGUGGAGCUAGGGUUAGGGUUGGGCUUGGAGCUAGGGUUAGGGUUAGGAUUAGGGUGGAGCUAGGGUUAGGGUUAGGGUUAGAGCUAGGGUUAGGGUUGGGGCUAGAGUUAGGGUUAGGGUUAGGGUUAAGGUUGGAGAUAGGGUUAGGGUUAGGGUUAGGGUUGGAGCUAGGGUUAGGGUUAGGGUUAGGGUUGGAGCUAGGGUUAGGGUUAGGGUUAGGGUUGGAGCUAGGGUUAGUGUUGGAGCUAGGGUUAGGGUUGGGCUUGGAGCUAGGAUUUUUCUGAGUGCAAUGAACAAACUCCCGAGUCU